CAUUAUAGGUCACUGGAUCAAGCACACAGACCAGUGUGGAAGCAGGAAGCAGAAACAAGGAUUUCUCCUUGCUGAGAAUAAUAAAUGACCAUCACCACAGUCUUGUCAGUAGGCUGCCAAGGAGUGCAAUAUCCUGGGAAGGACAAUCUGAAUCUCACCAGGUGAAACCUUUUUUAAAGAUGCUUCAGUAAAUUACUUCAUCCAUCCCAAAGUUCUGUCAAGGGAAAAAUCUCAGCCUUCAUUUUGCUAUCAAUCACGAAUUGCCAUACUUCAGAAAGAAACUUAAGACUCAAAGAGAUCCUGCAGGUCUUUCUUCCUUACUGGAUGAAAUUGAACGAAAACAAGUUCCAGAGAGGACUCCAGAACAUCUCCAGCUUCCAGAUUGGAUUCAGUAACUGAUGACAUCUUAUUAGGUGUGAGAAUACUGUGUUGUUCCAUUCAUCAUUAUAAAUAAAGCAAUAUUUUUUACUUUCCAAA